UUGGUGCUGAUGCAGCCAUCCUCUGCAUCCUGGACGAAGAUGUCAAAGGCUGCCUUGAACUCUGCAACACACAGCACAGCACAUGACCACGAAACACGCAGACGGAAUGAGCUCUAUCGACGGUGGGAUGGCAGCCUGACGGAGCCUGGAGAAGCCCACAUCAAUAGGAGAAUACGGAGUGCAGUUUUCACUGGAGCACUUCACCAAUUUCCUCUUACAGAGGAAGGGGCGGCUGACGACAGAGCCAACCAUAUCUCCACACAUCAUGAUCAGGCAGUGCAUCUCAAAUCCUCAAAUCACCCGCACACCGUUUUUUGAGAGGUUGCCAUAGAAACCCUGCCGGGUUGUAGCUGCAGACAGGGAGAGGAGAUGAGGAGAGCUACCCCCCCCCCCCCUCCCGCCACAUUUUGUCCUCGCAGUCACUGUUUUCCUCGUUCUUCUCCUUUGCCUUUUGCACAGGCGAAUGCGCACACGCACACACAGGUUUGGCAAAUCAUUAUUUAUUCCCUGGUAACCUUAAUGAGAACCAUUCAUGCAAAUGUUAUGGAUGACUUAAUCCACGUGUCCAAAUGAUUAUAUUUGAUGUGUCAUAGCGAAGAUAAAAAUGAACUUCGUUGGGUGCCUUGACUUGGGACGGAUCAGGUUAGGAAUAGUAUUCAAGGUUUGCACUAGCCUAGCCUGCAAAUACUGUAAGUUCAUAUGGUUGCUUCAAAAUAGGUUCAAUUCACCAUUUUGUUAGGUUAAAUGGUCUUUCUAUUGGAAAAGGGACAAAUUAUCAAAUCGUCAAUUUUUUAAGAAUCUGGCCCCUGCAUUCUUCAAACCAAGUGUGUAAUAUUGUUUUCAUGUUAGUUCCUCUGUUAGUGAUAAUUAAUUAAUUGUAUUGCAUAAAGGUUGUCAGAGAAAUGAUUUGCUGUUUUAAUGUCAUGCAGGCCAGGUGUCUUCCUCUAUGUCUCUCCUCUGUCUCUCUCUCCUUGGUUGGAGGGUUACUCCGAGUCCAUCAGCCUCUCUCUUCCCCCCUCUCUCACUCUCUGUCUCACCCUCUCUCCCUUUCUCUCCCUUUCUCUCUCUCACCCUCUCACACACUCUCUCUCUCUGCUGUUCUCCCUUUCUCUCUCCUAACUCAUUCUCCCCUCUCUCGUUCCCCUUUCUCUCUCCUCACUUAACUCUCUCCCUCUUAUCUGCUCUCCCCCCCCUCUCUCUAUUUGGGGUGUAUUCAGAGUGAAGGACUAAAAGGGGGAGUGGUUUGGGGCAAUUUACGUCUCUCUAUACAGCGAGCACUCCUCCAGCCAACACUUACCACUCAGAGGGGAACCUGUAUUCUCUCCGCUCUCAAACGGUGACCAACGUCAGACUCGGAUGGAAAGAUUUGGCUUUAGAGGAGAGGGGAUGUGUCUCUCUCUUACUCUCUCCCUCUCUCUCAUUUACUUUCCCAUUGCCGUUUGAUGGCUGAAAGGUUUGCAUUGAAGGGCUUACUGCCAUGCAGACCACCAAGUCCCCAACCCACCCUCACGACUGCAAAAAAAAGAAACAGUACUGAAAAACAAACAUGUUAAUAUGCUGGUUAUAUUCAUGAGAUAUUAUAUUGGAAUGAACAUGUUGAAUAUAUCAAAAGAUAUCAAGUGACAUCAAAGGUGCAUGUUCCUUCAGUGAGUUGUUUGUCUCUGUGUGUGUGUGUGUGUGUGUGUGUGUGUGUGUGUGUGUGUGUGUGUGUGUGUGUGUGUGUGUGUGUGUGUGUGUGUGUGUGUGUGUGUGUGUGUGUGUGUGUGUGUGUGUGUGUGUGUGUGUGUAUGAGCUUUGAUGAAGAUAGAUCUGAACACAGAUGACACAUUCUUUUUUUCAGUAAUCAGUGGUCUUCAAUGCCAUUCGAGUGGUGUGCGUCAUGGCGAUGACGAGAGAAAGAAUAUAGCACAGGACAAGUCAAUUUCCUGUUGAGAUGAGCUCCACGUUCCUCCAACUUGUACCAUAGAAAAUGUCAACAGUAUCUGCUGGGAGAGGUCCCAUGUACAAUCCCAGUGGUAAUACAAUUCACAAGACUCGCUGGGGAUUAAAUGCACGGACGAAGCCCAUUUAUGAGAAGAAUUGGCCCCGGAUUUGUGGGGCUUAGGACACCCCGGGGUGCAUGUGUGUUCCACACACACACAAGCACGCACGCACACACAUAUCUAUUUUGCAUCCCCAAAUUGAGGCUAUAGUACGUUCUGGCUCAAAGAGGAACAAAUCACCUAUGCAUCCAUCUGUGUGGCUGAAGUUGCGCCCCGGGGCCACCCAGCCUUCAGUGGAGUGUGCUGUGAUUUGACAAGGCCGAUGAUGAGAGACACUGUAAAUAUCCGGCCCUCAUGUGACUCACUGGAUGGCCUCAAGGAAUCCACUAAAGGUCAAUGUUUCCUGAUGCCAUUGCCAACAACUGAAUUAAGUGACUUCAUCCCUGCCCACGCAUCUGUCCCAUUUUAGGGGAUGGAUGGAUUCAGCUUUGUUUAUUGAAGGUGUUGCAUCGUACUCACACACUACGCUUCUCAAUCUGCUUCCGACAGGAGCACACCAUACGCACAUAGGCUACAUGUGCAUGUGCAAACAUAGGCACACACACACACGUAAGCACACACACAUACUGUAAGCCUACAUGCAUGCACACACGCGCACACUCACACGCGUAAGCACUGGGACACGUACUCGUUGCCAUCUCUGUCUUCAGCACGCACAAAGCGCUCGCUCGAACACUUGCAUGCACACACACACACACAAGCAGGAGCAUUGGCAUUCACCCACAGCCUCUGGGUCCGUCUCAUCAUGCACAAUAGGUCUGAACAUGACAACAGUCUCUGAACAAUACAGUACGUGUCUCCAUGAUGCCUCACACGCAGUGUACUGUGCGGUGGUAAAUGGACUAACAUGAUUUGGGCUAAAUGGGCAGAAGAAGAAAAAACAUGUAUAUGACAUUUUGUGAAUUGAAUUACAAAAUUGCAUCUCCCCGUCACUAAGACUCUUUUUUCAGACUGGCCUUUUGGAGUUCCAAACUGGAGGGGCUAAGAGCAUUCCUUUGGUGACAAUCUGUAGCCCUUUCCUGCGGUCAAUGACCAAAAGCUUUUUGGCCUCAUGGGCGGAAUGUUGUUAAUAUGUUUCAUAACUUCAUCGUGAAUAAAAAUGUUUAAAAAAAAAAAAAACGUUUUUUGUUGAUCCAGUGUUUCUAUGUCAAACAUUUUUGUUCUAUUUCAGUCUUCUGUGAUGGAUAUAAAGUGUAAUAUUUGGAUGCAAACUUAAGAUCGUAUACAUUUCAACUCUAUAUCUAACAUGGUACAGGUGUGUUCUUUUGUUUAAACCCAUAAUCAUGUGUGUGAGGUGUGUAGGCCUACUUUUGUUCCUAAGUUGAUUUGUUUAAGAUGACCAAGAAUCACUCUGUGACUCUGAUUUAGCCCACUGCAGUAAAAGGUUAUAUGAAGCCAUUGAUCUUUUCAAAUCCUCAGAGAAAUAAUACUAACCUCCCAACACUUUAAUCCAAUAAAUGCUCAUGAGAGAGUGUGAAAAAAACAUGAUGAAAUGUAAGGAAAUCAAAUAAAAUGAAAAUGGGGGUAUCUAUAAUGAAGGGAUAUUUAAAGCAUGUAGAAAUACAA